rnacentral:rRNA from 1 species
UGGGGAAUUUUGGACAAUGGGCGCAAGCCUGAUCCAGCCAUUCCGCGUGCAGGACGAAGGCCUUCGGGUUGUAAACUGCUUUUGUACGGAACGAAAAGGCUCUGGCUAAUACCUGGGGCUCAUGACGGUACCGUAAGAAUAAGCACCGGCUAACUACGUGCCAGCAGCCGCGGUAAUACGUAGGGUGCAAGCGUUAAUCGGAAUUACUGGGCGUAAAGCGUGCGCAGGCGGUUAUGUAAGACAGAGGUGAAAUCCCCGGGCUCAACCUGGGAACUGCCUUUGUGACUGCAUAGCUGGAGUACGGCAGAGGGGGAUGGAAUUCCGCGUGUAGCAGUGAAAUGCGUAGAUAUGCGGAGGAACACCGAUGGCGAAGGCAAUCCCCUGGGCCUGUACUGACGCUCAUGCACGAAAGCGUGGGGAGCAAACA